AGGUUUGCGCAGUGGUGAUAUCGUACCAGUGAGGUUUUACCGAGGUACAAUUAUUGCUAGUUGAAAACUUUAACCAAUAGCCUGCCAUGAGGACGAUAAAUACCGUGUGCUAUGGCAAUUUUCGAAAGUUCGAAAGAAC
rnacentral:snRNA from 1 species